GGUGCCUUGUGGGUAACGGUGAGGACUGGAGUGAAGCUCCUCCCGUGUGGCAGGUGGGCCGUGACAGCUCCAAGAUGCUCUUUGACCUGAGAGGAAGGGAAAACAACAUCAAUGGCCACCAGGGACGCUGGAGGUGUCGGUGGAUGAAGGCGCGCUGCCAAUAACACCAGACAUGUGUGUAUACACUGUAGACUGCAGUUUUCAGAGUGUGGAGUAAGGGGAUGAAUUUCACACAAAUCAGUGCCAGCUCCUGAUCCAAAUCAGGGAAACAGCAGAAUACCGUGCCUCGCCUUGCCUUAAUUCUUUAAGAACUAGUGAGAUAGAGAUGUGUGGGCAGAAUGCUUACACAAUCUACGUACUGUGAAUGUGAGAUGUUAUUAGGACAGCGCUUUCAUUUUUACAAUGUUUGCAUUUGUUUUUCACUGCAUAAAUACAUUGUUGUUGCGAUAAUAGCUCUAUAAUGUAUAAUUCAACAUAAAAACUCCCUGCGUUUCUGAUUAGGUACAUGAAAAACAAUGUUGUUUGCCUCAUGUUUUGCAAAAAAAAUGACCCUCCUUCAAAAAUUGAAUCAGUUUUUGGCACAGCUGUGACCAUGCAACUUGGCCAGUUUACAUAAAAAUGCACCUCUUCUCUUUCCAAGCAUCAGUUACUGAUUUCCAUAUUUUCCUGCUCCAACCAUGGCUCUAAUCUCAAGGUCUGUGUGUUUCAGUAUGGCAGCAAUUGCUAUAAGACUAGAUCUCCCACAAUAAUCUGAAAUGGACUAAACCACUGAUGGACAAUGGUUAAUGGAUAAAUGCUCCCGUUUUCCGACCACUGCGCUCUACAGCGUCUAUUUCAUGCGUCUCUGUUUUCAAGAAUCUCUUGUAUUUCUCUAACCAUCUUCCCUGAAUAUUCGACCCCUCCUCUGCCUUAUCUACCAUAAAGUAAGUGAGUGAAAUUCACAUUCUGCAGCCGAAUGAGAAACUCAGUAAACAUGGGGUAAAUAAAGAACUGA